rnacentral:rRNA from 1 species
UACGAAGGGGGCUAGCGUUGCUCGGAAUCACUGGGCGUAAAGCGCACGUAGGCGGCUUCUUAAGUCAGGGGUGAAAUCCUGGAGCUCAACUCCAGAACUACCUCUGAUACUGAGGAGCUCGAGUCCGGGAGAGGUGAGUGGAACUCCGAGUGUAGAGGUGAAAUUCGUAGAUAUUCGGAAGAACACCAGUGGCGAAGGCGGCUCACUGGCCCGGUACUGACGCUGAGGUGCGAAAGCGUGGGGAGCAAACAGG